AGAGUUUGAUCCUGGCUCAGGACGAACGCUGGCGGCGUGCUUAACACAUGCAAGUCGAGCGGUAAGGCCCUUCGGGGUACACGAGCGGCGAACGGGUGAGUAACACGUGGGUAACCUGCCCUGUACUUUGGGAUAAGCCUGGGAAACUGGGUCUAAUACCGGAUAGGACUCCAUCAUGCAUGUGGUGGGGUGGAAAGUUC
rnacentral:rRNA from 1 species